CAGGUGCUGCAUGGCCGUCGUCAGCUCGUGUCGUGAGAUGUUGGGUUAAGUCCCGCAACGAGCGCAACCCUUGUCAUUAGUUGCUACGAAAGGGCACUCUAAUGAGACUGCCGGUGACAAACCGGAGGAAGGUGGGGAUGACGUCAGGUCCUCAUGGCCCUUAUGGGUAGGGCUACACACGUCAUACAAUGGCCGGUACAGAGGGCUGCCAACCCGCGAGGGGGAGCCAAUCCCAGAAAACCGGUCGUAGCCCGGAUCGUAGUCUGCAACUCGACUGCGUGAAGUCGGAAUCGCUAGUAAUCGCGGAUCAGCUUGCCGCGGUGAAUACGUUCCCGGGUCUUGUACACACCGCCCGUCACACCAUGGGAGC
rnacentral:rRNA from 1 species